UAAAAAAUUAAGAUUGACCUUCUAAAAUAUAUAUAUAUUUUAAGGCUAAAUUAUAGUAAAUUUUUAUUGUCAAGAAUCACUUUUUUAUUUUCUUUUCUGUCAUUUAAAAUCUAAAUUUUGUCUUGUUAAAAAAAAUAAAAAAAAUAUUUACUUUGAUCCCUGCCGUCAGUGUUUCAUUAAAUUUUCUUUUAUAUUUUAUUUUUUAAACCGAAAAUAUUUCUGAAACCCUCCUUCUUCCUCAUCUUCAGCCGCGCUGCCUCGCCCUCGCCCACCUCACAGUCCAUGCCCACACACACGUCUUCGUCCGUCUCCGCCACCUCACCCUCGCCUUUAUCCAUCUUUCCGUCCACGCCUAUCCCAAAAAGGAUAAUAUUAUUUAUUAUUAAAUUUUACUAUAAGAUUAUUUAAAACUUAUUACGCAUCUAAAAAGACGUGUUUGAUAAAAAAAUUUACUUAUU
rnacentral:lncRNA from 1 species